GGCUGCAGUACCCUGACUGUACAAAGGUAGCGUGAUGUUUGUUUUCUUAAUUAGAGAUCUGUUCAACGAAUGAUAUAUGUGACUUCUAUUGUUUUAAAGGAAUAAAAACUUAAACUCUUAGUGAAAAUUCUAAGCUUAUUUUAAAAGACGAGAAGACCCCACAAAACUUAAUUUUUUUACAUGGGGACUGUUGAGUGUGAAAACAGAUCUAACUUCUUAAUUAUCUGAAAAGCUACUUUGGGGAUAACAGGGUGAAGCGAGUGGAGAGUUCUUAUCGAUACUUGCAAUUACUACCUCGAUGUUGGAUUAUCUUAUCAAGUAUGUAGCAGCCGCAUACUUAGUUAGUCUGUUCGACUAAUAAAAAGUUACGUGAUCUGAGUUC
rnacentral:rRNA from 1 species